CACUCCUGCCUCCUAGGUCUGACGGGGACUCCGGCUCGGAGCUGGGCCCCCGAGGCCGCCAGGGAGGUGACUGCGGGCGACGCCGGGAUUUUGGUUUGGGUAACUGGGUAGAUGGGGGCGCCAUUAUCGCGCUUCUCUUGCAGGGGGCCGGUGAAGGUUAUACGAGAGGCUCCAUCUGUCCUUAUUGAAAGUGCUCUUAACGCAGGGACCAGCCUUCUUGCUGACGCCUGGGCCACCGAGCACAGGGACAGGACGGGGUUGCUGGAGGUGCAAGCUGGGAGAAAGCAGAGAACUGACUCCAUGCAGAGUUGGGAUUAAGAGCCCCUGGACAAGGGGCCAAGGCAGUGAAGGACGUCCAUCACUCAUCUGCCACUAUCCUCCUCACAUUUAAUCCUCACAACACCCCUGUGAGGUUUAUCCGCUUCACCUGUUGCUGGGGAACACUGCUCUCCGGGGGACUUGGGGGACGACACUGUAAACAUGACUUCCUGGCCUGAUGGUGGCAGGGCUGUGUGUGCGAGUCACUGUCCAGGGACAGCACUGA
rnacentral:lncRNA from 1 species